rnacentral:tRNA from 1 species
GGGGUAUUAGCUCAGUUUGGCAGAGCAGCUGACUCUUAAUAAGCGGGUCGCAGGUUCGAUCCCUGCAUGCCCCA